UACAGAGGUGGCAAGCGUUGUUCGGAAUUACUGGGUGUAAAGGGCGCGUAGGCGGUCUUCUAAGUCUUGUGUGAAAUCCCUCGGCUCAACUGAGGAACUGCACGGGAUACUGGAAGACUUGAGUUCGGGAGAGGGAAGCGGAAUUCCGGGUGUAGCGGUGAAAUGCGUAGAUAUCCGGAGGAACACCGGUGGCGAAGGCGGCUUCCUGGACCGAUUACUGACGCUGAGGCGCGAAAGCGUGGGGAGCAAACAGG
rnacentral:rRNA from 1 species